rnacentral:rRNA from 1 species
GAUGAACGCUGGCGGCGUGCCUAAUACAUGCAAGUCGAGCGAACAGACGAGGAGCUUGCUCCUCUGACGUUAGCGGCGGACGGGUGAGUAACACGUGGAUAACCUACCUAUAAGACUGGGAUAACUUCGGGAAACCGGAGCUAAUACCGGAUAAUAUAUUGAACCGCAUGGUUCAAUAGUGAAAGACGGUUUUGCUGUCACUUAUAGAUGGAUCCGCGCCGCAUUAGCUAGUUGGUAAGGUAACGGCUUACCAAGGCAACGAUGCGUAGCCGACCUGAGAGGGUGAUCGGCCACACUGGAACUGAGACACGGUCCAGACUCCUACGGGAGGCAGCAGUAGGGAAUCUUCCGCAAUGGGCGAAAGCCUGACGGAGCAACGCCGCGUGAGUGAUGAAGGUCUUCGGAUCGUAAAACUCUGUUAUUAGGGAAGAACAAGUGUGUAAGUAACUAUGCACGUCUUGACGGUACCUAAUCAGAAAGCCACGGCUAACUACGUG